rnacentral:rRNA from 1 species
AUGGCCGUUCAAUUUUGCCCCAUGAAUACGCACUAUCUGAGUGGGUUUUGGCAGAUCGUUGUUCUCAAUGUGCUGCAUUGCUCUUUCUGCAACAAGCGAAGCCAAUCCUUCCUCGUCAGCUACUUGCCACCAGGGCUGAGACUUCCUGUCUUGUUCCCAAGGUGGAUCCAUCUCAUAGCAUGCCUUCUUUGGUUUCUUCGGAAACAAAGGGUCAAAAGUAUUGAAGUCCAUAACCUCUUUAUCCUCGUGAAGGAAGUUAUUGGAAUUUCCUCUGCACUUGAGACUCGUUUGAGGGCACCCUUCGCAAGGUGCUUCAGAUGUUUGCUUCAUAAAAGCUGUUGA